rnacentral:lncRNA from 1 species
AGAUCAAGAAGUACGAAACUCGAGGUUAGACAAAGGGAAGAAUAAAGUUGAAGACUAAGUUGGUGAAUUUGGCUAUAAUUGGUACCGAGGUAAGUUUACGGUAAAUAAAUGCAAUAUUUCAAUAUUUAUUAUUAAUGCUGUUAAUUUCCAGCAAUUAUGAAUUUAUUUUAUGAAUUUAUUUGAUGAUGAUCCAAGCAUGAAAUGAUAGAGAAUUAAAAUUUAAAAGUCCCGUUGAUACAUAAGGAUGGUACUGGAUACGAAUGUCAUGACAUUUGGGUAAAGAGAUCCCAUGUAAGACCAUGUCUGGGACAUGGCAUUGGCAUCCUUAGGAUCAUGAGAGGUCCCCUGUAAGACCAUGUCUGGGACAUGGCAUGGGCACCGAGACGAGAGGUCCCAUGUAAGACCAUGUCUGGGACAUGGCGUUGGCACCGAGAUGAGAGGUCCCCUAUAAGACCAUGUCUGGGACAUGGCAUGGGCACCAUCACGAGAACAUCCCAUGUAAGACCAUGUCUGGGACAUGGCUUUGGCAUGUUAUUAUCAGAAGAGACCCGAGUAUCCUUAUUAUUCCAAUGUAGCUCAACGGGCUUGUAAACGAAUCAUGUUCAUGAAAGUUCAGUUUAAAGCAUAAAUGGCAAGCUCAGGUAAGUUGUAAGACUUAAGAACUUAUUAUACUAUCAAUUGAUGUUCAACGAUGCAGCAAGGAUUGAGUAAGUUAUGCACACAAGUAAACAAGUAAGAGAACUAGUAUGAGAUUAACUAAAGAGUAAACUAGAGAUAUAGACAUUGAGUUUAAUUAUUUAAGUUAAAUAUUGUUAUUUAUUUGCUAGUAAAAUUACUAAGCUUUAUGCUUACUUCUGUUAUUUCUCUUUCUCUUAUAGUAUUGCAAAGCUACUUCAAGGAUCCUAAAGAAGUCGGAGAUCGUCCACACUAUCAACUACAACUGCUCGGUAUUUUAUAUCGAAACACGUUUGAGUUAUGGCAUGUAUAGGGAUUUAGUUAUUUUUUAUGUUUGUAAUGAUGAUUUUGCUAAUGAGUGAUGUGUAAGUAUUUGAUGAUGUAUGGUUAUUAAAAUGAUUAAGGAUGAAGGUGUUUGUUGUUAUGAAAGAUUAGGUGAUAAAUUAUGCAUG